GUACUGAUGAGGAGUCACAAAACAGGACGAAACAUAUGUCCAGCAC
rfam:Trichobilharzia regenti genome assembly, scaffold: TRE_scaffold0042726